CCCUUAGAUGUUCUGGGCUGCACGCGUGCUACACUGAUUCCUUCAACAAGUGUUUUAACUGGAGAGUUUGCGUAAUCCUGAAAUGUUAUCGUGAUGGGAGUAGAGUAUUGUAUUUGUUAAUCUUUAACGAGGAAUUCCUAGUAAGUGUAGGUUUAUAAGUUGUUCUGAUUACGUCCCUGCCCUUUGUACACACCGCCCGUCGCUCCUACCGAUUGAUUGAUCCGGUGAAUUACAUAGAAUUUUGCGUUUUACAUGACGGAAGAUGAAGUGUUUUAAACCUUAUCAUUUAGAGGAAGGAGAAGUCGUAACA
rnacentral:rRNA from 1 species